rnacentral:rRNA from 1 species
GGCGGACGGGUGAGUAACGCGUGGGAACGUGCCUUCUGGUCUGGAAUAACCCUGGGAAACUAGGGCUAAUACCGGAUACGCCCUUUUGGGGAAAGGUUUACUGCCGGAAGAUCGGCCCGCGUCUGAUUAGCUGGUUGGUGGGGUAACGGCCUACCAAGGCGACGAUCAGUAGCUGGUCUGAGAGGAUGAUCAGCCACACUGGGACUGAGACACGGCCCAGACUCCUACGGGAGGCAGCAGUGGGGAAUAUUGGACAAUGGGCGCAAGCCUGAUCCAGCCAUGCCGCGUGAGUGAUGAAGGCCUUAGGGUUGUAAAGCUCUUUUAUCCGGGACGAUAAUGACGGUACCGGAGGAAUAAGCCCCGGCUAACUUCGUGCCAGCCGCCGCGG